GGAAGUAAAAGUCGUAACAAGAUCUCCGUUGGUGAACCAGCGGAGGGAUCAUUACAGGACUCGCAAGACUCCUACACCCCUGUGAACUUAACUAUAAGCACGUUGCUUCGGCGGGUGUCUCGGAGGGGGUUCUCCCUCCCCGAGACGCUAAACCCGCCGGCAGCCUACUAUACUCUGUCUCUUUGCGUUGGCAUCUCGAGUACAAUCAAACAAGUUAAAACUUUCAACAACGGAUCUCUUGGUUCUG
rnacentral:misc_RNA from 1 species